GACGAACGCUGGCGGCGUGCCUAAUACAUGCAAGUCGAGCGAAGUUUUUCUGGUGCUUGCACUAGAAAAACUUAGCGACGAACGGGUGAGUAACACGUAAAGAACCUGCCUCAUAGACUGGGACAACUAUUGGAAACGAUAGCUAAUACCGGAUAACAGUAUUUCUCGCAUGAGAGAUAUUUAAAAGUUGGUUCUGCUAACACUAUGAGAUGGCUUUGCGGUGCAUUAGCUAGUUGGUGGGGUAAAGGCCCACCAAGGCGACGAUGCAUAGCCGACCUGAGAGGGUGAUCGGCCACACUGGGACUGAGACACGGCCCAGACUCCUACGGGAGGCAGCAGUAGGGAAUCUUCCGCAAUGGGCGAAAGCCUGACGGAGCAACGCCGCGUGAGUGAAGAAGGAUUUCGGUUCGUAAAGCUCUGUUGUUAGGGAAGAAUGGAUAUGUAGUAACUAUACAUGUAAGAGACGGUACCUAACCAGAAAGCCACGGCUAACUACGUG
rnacentral:rRNA from 1 species